rnacentral:rRNA from 1 species
UACGGAGGGUGCAAGCGUUGUCCGGAUUUAUUGGGUUUAAAGGGUGCGUAGGUGGCUUAAUAAGUCAGUGGUGAAAGCCUGCAGCUUAACUGUAGGACUGCCAUUGAUACUGUUGAGCUUGAGUACUGAUGAGGUAGGCGGAAUUGAUAGUGUAGCGGUGAAAUGCAUAGAUAUUAUCAAGAACACCGAUUGCGAAGGCAGCUUACUAAGGAGUUACUGACACUGAGGCACGAAAGCGUGGGGAUCAAACAGG